ACAGUGGUGGUUCAGUUGCAGAAUUCUGGCCUUCCAUGUUAGAGACCUGGGUUUGACUCCCAGCCACUGCA
rnacentral:tRNA from 1 species